AUGGCUCCCCCUAUGUCGUCCUUGUCUCCGAUGCCGGUUAUGGAUGCACGAAUGAGGCUGAUAAUCCAGGCAGCAACACUGAUUAGUGUGAUUCAGGCAUGGGUCGUGUUCAUGCACCAGAGAGUUGUUCGUUGUGCUGUGAGACCUUUGAUCCGCUAUGGUCCAUUGUUUCUCCGGGAACAGGAGAGGAUCCAAAAUCUAAACUACAUCUACAACUGCAAUGACAGCGAGGCUCUGUGGAUGCUUCGAAUGAAAAGAGCACCAUUUGCCAGGCUUGUUGAGACCUUCAGGAGCAGGCGGCUGCUACAAGAAAGCAUCAACACCAGUGUCGAAGAGCAAGUGGCCAUGUUCCUCCAUGUUGUUGGCCAUAACCAGAGGUUCAGGGUCAUUCACAACACGUUCAGGAGAUCAAUGGAGACCAUCUCUAGGUACUUCAAGCAGGUGCUUUUUGCUAUUGGGGAGCUUAGAGGAGAGAUGAUCAGGAGACCAUCUGGUCAGACUCCACCCAAGAUUCGCGGAAGCCCAAGAUGGUAUCCAUACUUCAAGGAUUGCAUUGGGGCAAUAGAUGUUCACAUAUGUGCUGGCUGGCUGGGAGGGGUCAGCGCUGAUGCUAACAUUCUCAGUGACAACAUGAGUCGACCUGAUGGGAUCAACAUCCCCGACGACAAGUUCUACCUUGGAGAUGCUGGCUAUGCAUGUCGGCCGGGUAUUCUUCCACCCUUCAGGAAAACAAGGUACCAUCUCAACGAGUUCUCUGGUAGGAACUAUCCUAGGACUGCACAGGAGCUGUUUAAUCUCAGACACUCCAGCCUUAGAGUAACUGUUGAGAGGGCAUUUGGAGCUCUGAAGAAUAGGUUUAAGAUCCUGGAUCAGAAGCCAUUCCACCAAUACUCCACUCAGGUUAAGCUUGUUCUUGCUUGUUGCAUUAUGCAUAACUGCCUGAGGAGGAAGAGGUCGAGCCUGACGAUGUUGUUAGCUCCGGCCAUGGUAUGGAGGCAUUUGACAAUGACGCUUGGAAGAACAAAAGGUUGGAGUGGGCAGAUGCAAUGUGGCUUAACAGAGGUCAGUGCAGGAUUUGAAGAAGAAGAAGAAGCAGCAGCAGCAGAAGUAGCAGAAGCAGAAGAAGAGUAA
rnacentral:rRNA from 1 species